ensembl:lncRNA
GUUCACACCGAACGCGAUAGAGGCGGCCAGAGCGUCAGUGUUCCGUGUCUUGCGUGUCUUGCGCGUUUGACUCGCGAAAAAAACCACGCGCGUGAGUUUUUGUGUUGCAAUCUGUUUCGGUAGAGGCGAAACAGAUUUUUCCAACUGUUUCGCCUCUACUACUCGAGUUGGAAAAAUCUGAACUCCAGCGUCAAAUCGCGCUGCGACAACCAAUCAGGAGCCUGGUGACGUGGCUGUAACCAGGUCAAAGGGGCAGAUCCAGCCAAAGCCCUUCAUUCUUCAAUGGAGGGAAGGCUAAUCAACGCCUUAGCAAACAACCCAGAGCUGUACCACACCAGCUGCUUUGUGUACCGAGACAGGAAUAUAAAGGACCGAGCUUGGAGGAAGAUAUGUGAAGAGAUCGGGCAACCUGAACCAACUGAUUCUGCAGCAGAGCAUCCCCUGUUGCUUCUCCUUGCUCCCCAGUCCCUCAGCUUCUGCUGCUGCACCCACAGGCCCAGAGAGGAGGACAGCUCCGAGGCAGAUGAGGGACUGGUCCCAGGACGGUCCAUCGGUGGUGGAGCUGGGCAUCCUGGUGUCCCUGAAGAGGCCACGCCAGUCUCCAAUGGAGCAUUUCCUCCUCAGCCUUGUUCCUGCUCUGGAGAGCAGCUGGGUCCUUU